GGGGAAUAUUGCACAAUGGGGGAAACCCUGAUGCAGCAACGCCGCGUGAGUGAAGAAGGUCUUCGGAUCGUAAAGCUCUGUUGUACGGGACGAUAAUGACGGUACCGUACAAGGAAGCCACGGCUAACUACGUGCCAGCAGCCGCGGUAAUACGUUUAGGUGGCAAGCGUUGUCCGGAAUUACUGGGUGUAAAGGAUGCGUAGGCGGAUAUGUAAGUCAGAUGUGAAACCCCCGGGCUUAACCCGGGGCAUGCAUUUGAGACUGCAUAUCUAGAGUGCAGGAGAGGAAAGCGGAAUUCCUAGUGUAGCGGUGAAAUGCGUAGAUAUUAGGAAGAACACCAGUGGCGAAGGCGGCUUUCUGGACUGUAACUGACGCUGAUGCAUGAAAGCGUGGGGAGCAAACA
rnacentral:rRNA from 2 species